rnacentral:rRNA from 1 species
UGUACUUUAUGAAUAAGGAUCGGCUAACUCCGUGCCAGCAGCCGCGGUAAUACGGAGGAUCCGAGCGUUAUCCGGAUUUAUUGGGUUUAAAGGGAGCGUAGAUGGAUGUUUAAGUCAGUUGUGAAAGUUUGCGGCUCAACCGUAAAUUGCAGUUGAUACUGGAUGUCUUGAGUGCAGUUGAGGCAGGCGGAAUUCGUGGUGUAGCGGUGAAAUGCUUAGAUAUCACGAAGAACUCCGAUUGCGAAGGCAGCCUGCUAAGCUGCAACUGACAUUGAGGCUCGAAAGUGUGGGUAUCAAACAGGAUUAGAUACCCUGGUAGUCCACACGGUAAACGAUGAAUACUCGCUGUUUGCGAUAUACGGCAAGCGGCCAAGCGAAAGCGUUAAGUAUUCCACCUGGGGA